GACGUAGGGCGCGAGCGUUGUCCGGAUUUAUUGGGCGUAAAGAGCUCGUAGGCGGCUUGUCGCGUCGACUGUGAAAUCCCGCGGCUCAACCGCGGGUCUGCAGUCGAUACGGGCAGGCUAGAGUUCGGUAGGGGAGACUGGAAUUCCUGGUGUAGCGGUGAAAUGCGCAGAUAUCAGGAGGAACGCCGAUGGCGAAGGCAGGUCUCUGGGCCGAUACUGACGCUGAGGAGCGAAAGCGUGGGGAGCGAACAGG
rnacentral:rRNA from 1 species